AGAGGUUGUGGCUCAAUGGUAGAACUUCUCCUUUGAAUGCAGAAGGCCCCAGGUUCAUUCCCUGCUAUUUCUA
rnacentral:tRNA from 1 species